ANUCNAGCGGUACAGAAAGUAGCUUGCUACUUUGCUGACGAGCGGCGGACGGGUGAGUAAUGCUUGGGAACAUGCCUUGAGGUGGGGGACAACAGUUGGAAACGACUGCUAAUACCGCAUAAUGUCUACGGACCAAAGGGGGCUUCGGCUCUCGCCUUUAGAUUGGCCCAAGUGGGAUUAGCUAGUUGGUGAGGUAAUGGCUCACCAAGGCGACGAUCCCUAGCUGGUUUGAGAGGAUGAUCAGCCACACUGGGACUGAGACACGGCCCAGACUCCUACGGGAGGCAGCAGUGGGGAAUAUUGCACAAUGGGCGCAAGCCUGAUGCAGCCAUGCCGCGUGUGUGAAGAAGGCCUUCGGGUUGUAAAGCACUUUCAGUCAGGAGGAAAGGUUAACGGUUAAUACCCGUUAGCUGUGACGUUACUGACAGAAGAAGCACCGGCUAACUCCGUGCCAGCAGCCGCGGUAAUACGGAGGGUGCGAGCGUUAAUCGGAAUUACUGGGCGUAAAGCGUACGCAGGCGGUUUGUUAAGCGAGAUGUGAAAGCCCCGGGCUCAACCUGGGAACUGCAUUUCGAACUGGCAAACUAGAGUGUGAUAGAGGGUGGUAGAAUUUCAGGUGUAGCGGUGAAAUGCGUAGAGAUCUGAAGGAAUACCGAUGGCGAAGGCAGCCACCUGGGUCAACACUGACGCUCAUGUACGAAAGCGUGGGGAGCAAACNGGAUUAGAUACCCNGGUAGUCCACGCCGUAAACGAUGUCUACUAGAAGCUCGGANCCUCGGUUCUGUUUUUCAAAGCUAACGCAUUAAGUAGACCGCCUGGGGAGUACGGCCGCAAGGUUAAAACUCAAAUGAAUUGACNGGGGCCCGCACAANCGGUGGANCAUGUGGUUUAAUUCGAUGCAACGCGAAGAACCUUACCUACACUUGACAUACAGAGAACUUACCAAAGAUGGUUUGGGUGCCUUCNGGAACUCUGAUACAGGUGCUGCAUGGCUGUCGUCANCUCGUGUUGUGANA
rnacentral:rRNA from 1 species